AGCAGUUUCCGCCUUCGUUGGAGAACUCCGUACGCAUCCUGGAGUAAACUUGGCGGACUGAUCACCCACCGACUCCCCGCCACCGGUUGUACCUGACGUAACCCCACCCGGCGCGCAAAACCGAACCAACCCGGCUACCUAGUCUGUAACCGCUGCUUAUGUUUGUAACUGCAAUCAAAGCCAGCUUCUUCCCACGCUGCAUACAUCAGCGGCAUUCUUCUUUUUCUUUCUCUAUUUCAGCAACUUGUGAUUCGAUGUCCUUUGCACUAAAAAUCUGAAUGGGACAAAGUACAGUAUAAGUGUAAAUAAUGUAGAUUCCACGUGCAAUCCUAUAAUUCAGGACUGUUCAACUUCAGCAGAGCUGGGGGCUACUAGGGGCCCAGGUUCUCCCCCACCACAUGGCAGUGGGAAAGAUGGCCAGCAGUUGAAUAGCUCUGGUAUUAUCUAUAAAAUUCAAUUCUGUAUUACAAUUCUAAAAUGUACUACUAAUGCAUUAUAAAAGUUUGGAAAACUUUCUGAAUUACAAAUCAAUAAUCA